AGUAGUUACUUAAGGAAGAUUUUAGCCCAGAGGUAUUUCUAAUUUAUGUGGGAGUAUUAAGUGCUCAUCUAUAAAAUGAGAGACAAUUGUGGUAUCCUCAAAAAAUACAUUACCCUAGAAAUAAAAAGGCCUGACUGAGUCCCAACUUUCUCAACUUACUACCUGUGUGACACUGAGCAAGCCAUCCAAACACAUUUAAUCUGCGAAAUGAAGAAAGAGGAUCUCUCUACCUACUUUGCAGGGCUAUAUGAACAUCAAAUGAAAGUCAUAGCAAAUAUUUACUGAGCUCCUAUUAUGUACCAGAGACUAUGCCAGGAAGAAAGGAUGCAGGGGUGCUCAGACACCCGGAGUCUCUGUCCUCAAGAAGAUUCUUACUGCAGGAAGGAAGCUACAUCCUAUAAAUCACUGAAGACAUAUACCAUCUUUUAAUUCCUACUGGGGAAGAUUCGACUUAGCUCUCUUCCUCACACACAGCGUUUACAACCUCAUGACCCUAUAAACCGCACAUACAGCUGAACUAUGUGUGGAAUGAGGACAGGAUCUUUAUGUUUCCUUUAGCUGCCCCAUCCUGAAAUCAUGGGACACACUGGCAAGAGAGCUGUCCAAAGAGGAGUACCCAGACAAUUAAGGAUCAUCAGCAGAAACCCCAGACGAAACAGAGGGAGCCUAUCUGGGGGACACAUGGAUCAGGUGCCAUGGAUCCAGGAGAAGUUUAUGAACUAUGAUCCAGACUGACUAUUUGCACAUUUCUUCAUGAGUCUGACAAGAUUUCUCCACUUUCAAACAUUGUCAGAGCUUCAUAAUCUUCAAACUGUAAAGAGAAAAUACUGGGGUCCUUCUUUGGACCUUCCAGA